rnacentral:sRNA from 1 species
ACACUAGAAUAUUCACGCUCCGGUGGCGGCAGCAGCAGCCAGAGGAGCGGCCCAUCACACAAGGGACCCCUCAGGAAUGAAGCAGCCUUUCAGGGCCAGAGGGGCUGUGGUCUCCCUUCCUCUCCUUAAAUAGCCAGCGUUCCACCCACAGCGGCACGGAGCCCCCUGCCACCACCGACACCCACGGGCGGAGAUCACCUGCUGCCCCGCAGACCCCUGUCCCUUCCUCCCGGACCAGCACCUAGAGCUCUCCGCCCUCACCGUGGUUUUAGCAGUCCUAGGGAAAGUGCCAGCCGAGACCAUCCAGACCAAGUCAGAGGACUGUGAAACCUGGAUUCCUGGGGAAUGGGGUCCCCAUGAGGAACUCCACACUGGACUAAGAACAGACCCUGUUCCUGGUAGCAGCAGGAAACCAUCUCUGGUGUUAGAACUUCAGGCAUCUUGAAACACUCUGAAGCCGGGGGCAAUCUUUUCAGGCUCUGACUCCAGCCAAAGCAUGAAUGGCCUUGAAGUGGCUCCCCCAGGUCUGAUCACCAACUUCUCCCUGGCCACGGCAGAGCAAUGUGGCCAGGAGACGCCACUGGAGAACAUGCUGUUCGCCUCCUUCUACCUUCUGGAUUUUAUCCUGGCUUUCGUUGGCAAUACCCUGGCUCUGUGGCUUUUCAUCCGAGACCACAAGUCCGGGACCCCAGCCAACGUGUUCCUGAUGCAUCUGGCCGUGGCCGACUUGUCGUGCGUGCUGGUCCUGCCCACCCGCCUGGUCUACCACUUCUCUGGGAACCACUGGCCGUUUGGGGAAAUCGCAUGCCGUCUCACCGGCUUCCUCUUCUACCUCAACAUGUACGCCAGCAUCUACUUCCUCACCUGCAUCAGCGCCGACCGCUUCCUGGCCAUCGUGCACCCGGUCAAGUCCCUCAAGCUCCGCAGGCCCCUCUACGCACACCUGGCCUGUGCCUUCCUGUGGGUGGUGGUGGCCGUGGCCAUGGCCCCGCUGCUGGUGAGCCCGCAGACCGUGCAAACCAACCACACGGUGGUCUGCCUGCAGCUGUACCGGGAGAAGGCCUCCCACCAUGCCCUGGUGUCCCUGGCCGUGGCCUUCACCUUCCCGUUCAUCACCACGGUCACCUGCUACCUGCUGAUCAUCCGCAGCCUGAGGCAGGGCCUACGUGUGGAGAAGCGCCUCAAGACCAAGGCAGUGCGCAUGAUCGCCAUAGUGCUGGCCAUCUUCCUGGUCUGC